AAUAUUGGACAAUGGGGGCAACCCUGAUCCAGCCAUGCCGCGUGUGUGAAGAAGGUCUUCGGAUUGUAAAUCAUUUUAAGUUGGGAGGAAGGGCUUUAGGUUAAUACCCUGAAGUUUUGACGUUACCAACAGACAAAGCACCGGCUCACUCUGUGCCAGCAGCCGCGGUAAUACAGAGGGUGCAAGCGUUAAUCGGAAUUACUGGGCGUAAAGGGCGCGUAGGUGGUUCAGUAAGAUGGGUGUGAAAUCCCCGGGCUUAACCUGGGAACUGCUUUCAUAACUGCUGGGCUAGAGUACGGUAGAGGGUAGUGGAAUUUCCUGUGUAGCGGUGAAAUGCGUAGAUAUAGGAAGGAACACCAGUGGCGAAGGCGACUACCUGGACUGAUACUGAAACUGAGGUGCGAAAGCGUGGGGAGCAAAC
rnacentral:rRNA from 1 species